rnacentral:sRNA from 1 species
AUAUUUGAGGCACCAUCCCUGCCAUUGCCGGGCACUCGCGGCGCUGCUAACGGCCUGGUCACAUGCUCUCCGGAGAGCUACGGGAGGGCGCUGGGUAACCUCUAUCCGAGCUGCGGCCGCGAGGAGGAGGGAAAAGGCGAGCAAAAAGGAAGAGUGGGAGGAGGAGGGGAAGCGGCGAAGGAGGAAGAGGAGGAGGAGGAGGAGGGGAGCACAAAGGAUCCAGGUCUCCCGACGGGAGGUUAAUACCAAGAACCAUGUGUGCCGAGCGGCUGGGCCAGUUCAUGACCCUGGCUUUGGUGUUGGCCACCUUUGACCCGGCGCGGGGGACCGACGCCACCAACCCACCCGAGGGUCCCCAAGACAGGAGCCCCCAGCAGAAAGGCCGCCUGUCCCUGCAGAAUACAGCGGAGAUCCAGCACUGUUUGGUCAACGCUGGUGAUGUGGGAUGUGGCGUGUUUGAAUGUUUCGAGAACAACUCUUGUGAGAUUCGGGGCUUACAUGGGAUUUGCAUGACUUUUCUGCACAACGCUGGAAAAUUUGAUGCCCAGGUAAAAAUCCAUCCAGAGCAUGAAGAAUGUUUGG